rnacentral:ncRNA from 1 species
CUAAAAGCGUUGAAUAGAAUGAGUAGUCACAUGUAUGCAUGUGUAGAGAGAUUCCGGUUGGUGAAAGGAAUUUUGUAUUGGUGAUGAAUACAUCUAGGAGCUGUUUAUCUCAAAAGGUAAACCGUUACUCUGCGUUAAAGAGAAAUGAGUGUACGAUGAUUCGUAAACUAAGGUGGUACCGCGCUGAGGCGUCCUUAGA